rnacentral:rRNA from 1 species
GACGGAAGGUGCAAGCGUUGCUCGGAAUCACUGGGCGUAAAGGGUGCGUAGGCGGCUUGGUGGGUCUGGUGUGAAAGCCCCGGGCUCAGCCCGGGGAAGGGCACUAGAAACUGCCGAGCUGGAGUGCCGGAGGGGAGAGUGGAAUCCUGGUGUAGCGGUGAAAUGCGUAGAUAUCAGGAGGAAUACCGGUGGCGAAAGCGACUCUCUGGACGGCAACUGGACGGCUGAGGCACGAAAGCGUGGGGAGCGAACAGG